rnacentral:misc_RNA from 1 species
GAUGAAGAACGUAGCGAAAUGCGAUACGUAAUGUGAAUUGCAGAAUUCAGUGAAUCAUCGAAUCUUUGAACGCAUAUUGCGCUCUUUGGUAUUCCGAAGAGCAUGCUUGUUUGAGUAUCAGUAAACACCUCAAAGCUUUUGGAUUUUUUAAUCGAAAAGCUUUGGACUUGAGCAAUCCCAACACCAAUCUUUUUGAGAUCGGUGGCGGGUUGCUUGAAAUGCAGGUGCAGCUGGACAUUCUCCUGAGCUAAAAGCAUAUUCAUUUAGUCCCGUCAAACGGAUUAUUACUUUUGCUGCAGCUAACAUAAAGGGAGUUUGACCGUAUUGGCUGACUGAUGCAGGAUUUCACAAGGGUCGGCAACGAUUCUUGUUAAACUCGAUCUCAAAUCAAGUAAGACUACCCGCUGAACUUAAGCAUAUCAAUCAGCGGAGGA